rfam:Schistosoma haematobium scaffold222_9, whole genome shotgun sequence.
AUUCAGCUGACGAGUCCAAAGUAGGACGGAACGUGCAUCGUGGAU